rnacentral:rRNA from 1 species
UCGAGAACUUUUCACAAUGGGCGCAAGCCUGAUGGAGCGACGCCGCGUGGGGGAUGAAGGGUUUCGAUCCGUAAACCCCUGUCAUUUGCGAACAAACCUUGAUUGUGAAUAGCGAUCGAGCUGAUUGUAGCGGAAGAGGAAGGGACGGCUAACUCUGUGCCAGCAGCCGCGGUAAUACAGAGGUCCCAAGCGUUGUUCGGAUUCACUGGGCGUAAAGGGUGCGUAGGUGGUCGGUGAAGUUCGGUGUGAAAGCUCGGAGCUCAACUCCGAAACGGCAUUGAAAACUCAUCGGCUGGAGGGUCGGAGGGGAGACUGGAAUUCUCGGUGUAGCAGUGAAAUGCGUAGAUAUCGAGAGGAACACCAGUGGCGAAGGCGAGUCUCUGGACGACUCCUGACACUGAGGCACGAAAGCCAGGGGAGCAAACAG